GAUGAACGCUGGCGGCGUGCUUAACACAUGCAAGUCGAGCGAAGCACUUAGGUUCGAUUCUUCGGAUGAAGACUUUUGUGACUGAGCGGCGACGGGUGAAGUACGCGUAGGUAACCUGCCAAGAGACUGGGAUAACACCUGGAAACAGAUGCUAAUACCGGAUAACAACACUAGACGCAUGUCUAGAGUUUGAAAGAUGGUUCUGCUAUCACUCUUGGAUGGACCUGCGGUGCAUUAGCUAGUUGGUAAGGUAACGGCUUACCAAGGCAAUGAUGCAUAGCCGAGUUGAGAGACUGAUCGGCCACAUUGGGACUGAGACACGGCCCAA
rnacentral:rRNA from 1 species